CAGUGCAGCACUGUGGACCAGAGCCUGGACAUUAAUCUGAUGAAGAGGGACUUGCAGGAUGUUCAGAAGUUCAUUCUGAUGCGUGAGGUGGUGCAGCCAGUGAAUACAGUGCCCUCCUUCAUGAAAGACAAUAGUCACAUUUCCCAUCUGGCCAUUGAUAUUGUGCAGAGCAGAGACAUGCUUGUCCACACCGUCCGUUUGGCCACAA
rnacentral:lncRNA from 1 species